GUGAAUUGCCUAAGUUGGAACUACCGAGGAGGGGGGAACACCCGGACAGUUCGAGAGUUAGUGACGUUGUGUAAGUCGCGUUCCCUCAUGCUUGUAUUUUUGUGUGAAACUAGACAGAAUGAAGGGAAGAUGAGGAGGAUCCGCAAUAGAUUGGGUCUUAAGGGCUUCUGUGGUGUGGAUAGCAAUGGAAUGAGUGGAGGUUUAGCUUUAUAUUGGAGGGAAGAUUGCGCGGUAGAAAUUUUGGAUAAAGAGGACAUAUUUAUUGAUACAAUUAUCAGAGUUCGAGAAGGAGCUGCGCAAUGGAGAGCCACCUUUGUUUAUGGAGAGCCGCGUGUGGAGAACAGACACGUAAUGUGGACAAAGUUAUAG
rnacentral:rRNA from 1 species